UACGUAGGGUCCAAGCGUUAUCCGGAAUUACUGGGCAUAAAGCGUGUGUAGGCGGCGCGUUAAGUGCAACGCGAAAUCUUGCGGCUCAACCGUAUAGACUGUGUUGCAUACUGGCGUGCUCGAGGACGCGAGAGGCAAGUGGAAUUUGUAGUGUAGCAGUGAAAUGCGUAGAUAUUACAAGGAACACCAAUGGCGAAGGCAGCUUGCUGGCACGUAUCUGACGCUGAGACACGAAAGCGUGGGGAGCGAACAGG
rnacentral:rRNA from 1 species